rnacentral:snoRNA from 1 species
GCGGUCUGAAAAUCACUUGGGGUCUACCGUGGCCUCUGGUGAGAUAACUGUGCCGACAGCAUAGGGAACACAAAGCUUAUUGCCCACGGUGAUGCGUGGGGAAUGAAACCCAUGUUCCUAUAACC